rnacentral:lncRNA from 1 species
UCCAUACAACCCCAUAAGGUGAAAGGUAAAAUCAAAACCUUAAAGCUAAAGAACCCAACUUGAAUUUGAAUCUAACAAACGGUGGAAACCUAAAACGAAUCUUGAUUGUAUAAACGAUUGUUUUUCGCUUGUGAAAACCGAUCAUGAACUUGAACUUAACAAACGGCUAAGACACUAAAACGAAUCUUGAUUGUUUAAGCGAUUGCUAUUGCUUGUGAGAUCCGUUUGUUUGACUCGUUUAGGUUGCUA